rnacentral:lncRNA from 10 species
GUCUUCCUGUAACGCUUCCGAAUAAGAGGUCCGGUCGAAAAGAGUUGAAAGAUACGAAAUUAGGUGGUCGUUGGAAUCCUGAUCGCAGUAAAGUGGUCCUUGGUAACUGCUCGAGUAGAACAUGUCUGCAUCCGCCAAUAGUCCGCUAAUAGGGAGGGCUGUGCGAUUAAAGGCUUCCAUCGAUUGGGUAGUGUCCUUCAAGUGGGUGGCGAAGAGCCAGUCGGGCAUAUGUCAUGAAGGUUUCUCCGACCGAUUAAUGGUUUGCUGCUUGACUAGCCUAGGGAAAUAAUAAUAAAGGAUCUCAAAGAUUUCAUGAGACAAGCUGGGGAAGUAACGUUUGCGGAUGCACACCGACCUAAAUUAAAUGAAGGGGUGGUUGAGUUUGCCUCUUAUGGUGACUUAAAGAAUGCUAUUGAAAAACUUUCUGGAAAGGAAAUAAAUGGGAGAAAAAUAAAAUUAAUUGAAGGCAGCAAAAGGCACAGGUAUCUCUAAUUUUUUAAAGUCAAAAGUUGUAUUUAAUGGGUUUGUUGUAGAGUCUUAUCUAGGCUGAUUUCUUUUCAUUUUUCAUAGUAGGUCAAGAAGCAGGUCUCGAUCCCGGACCAGAAGUUCCUCUAGGUCUCGUAGCCGAUCCCGUUCCCGUAGUCGCAAAUCUUACAGCCGGUCAAGAAGCAGGAGCAGGAGCCGGAGCCGGAGCAAGUCCCGUUCUGUUAGUAGGUCUCCCGUGCCUGAGAAGAGCCAGAAACGUGGUUCUUCAAGUAGAUCUAAGUCUCCAGCAUCUGUGGAUCGCCAGAGGUCCCGGUCCCGAUCAAGGUCCAGAUCAGUUGACAGUGGCAAUUAAACUGUAAAUAACUUGCCCUGGGGGCCUUUUUUUAAAAAACAAAAACCACAAAAAUUCCCAAACCAUACUUGCUAAAAAUUCUGGUAAGUAUGUGCUUUUCUGUGGGGGUGGGAUUUGGAAGGGGGGUUGGGUUGGGCUGGAUAUCUUUGUAGAUGUGGACCACCAAGGGGUUGUUGAAAAC